CGCCGGACGAAACAUUACCGACUCGAUUGCCACGCGCCAACCACCUGCUCAGGGUGCCCCUCACGGUGCCAUUCCCUUUCGCUGAGUAUACGACACGCGCGAACCGCACUCAAUUGCGCCACAGUACCCCCUGGCGCCCUGCCGCAUCCGUCGCAUCGCCGCAGACCGCCGCGCAUCACGCUGCCGGCCAUCAGCACGCCGUUCCACGCCAACAGUUCCACGCACGCGUAGCUACAGCACCGUCAAAGACCAGCGCCCUCGCCGGCUUUUGCCCGGUCUCGUCGCAAACGCCGUCAGACACAGCGCUGCGCUCAGCCUCACAUGCCCGACCGCUCCUCCACCUCCGGCCUAUAAAAGGCGACGCUGAGCUCUCCUUUCUAGCCAGCACAGCUACCUCAUUCCCUCGGUUCCAUCAGAGCAAGGAUUUGCUCAUCACUCUCUUAUUCUGACAAGCUGUUCAUCGUGCUCUUGUCGCCGAGAGUUCGCGAACAACGACGAGAAGAAGCCUGGAGUCCGGUGCCGCGGGAUAGGAAGUUUGUACCGCAAGCAGAAGCCCGGAGUACGUACCGCGAGCUGGAAAUCGAAACGCAUACCGCGAGUUGAAAUACCUGUUUGUUGAGCGAAGGCAAGUUCAAUCCCAUCCUUUGAUGCAUGUUUCUGUCCUAGUUUUUAUAAACACAACCCAAUGGCCUGCUUUAUAAAAUUGCAUAUGUUUUGCUUGCAUGAAAA